GUAACCAAGUGUCCAGUUUGUUGCCGUUGUUUCCUCCUCGGAGACCUACGUUCAAUGUCAGGUGGUAGGGACAUUAUGCAAUGUGUGAAAUGCUUGGUGAAUUUGUUGUGAUUAACUUAGCUCAUUUUUCUUUUUGGCAGUUUUGGAACUUACUGUGUUACCGAUGACGAAGUCUAGUAUAACAGCCCAGCCAUUGUAAUGUGCAUUUCGUGGUCUAUUAAGUAGAACACAAAACCCAUUUGAGUGAUGUGUGACCCAUCGCCUUGCCUUGCGUGGUAUGUCAGUGUCAGCAAUUGGUAACAAAGUGAGAACACCACCACCCAUUCCAAAGGUUUGUUCCCCACAAUUGUGUACGAGUGGAUGGUUUCAUUAGUGAAGAGGGACACGGGAGUUCUGAGACGCCCCUUCUCGCCACUGAGUGGUGAUACCUCUUAACAUAAUGUUGAAGAAUUCCCCUGUGCUGGUUGACGAAGGCGGGAUGCACCGUGGUUCGUGCUGAGGGGGGACAAUCAGCCAGCCUCUAAAGCCGCAGUCUCACCUUGUGGGUUGAUUCAUGCAGUUCCUGUCUUACAUUCUCUUUCACUCUUUUGGCCUACUUCACACAGGCUGCGUGAUUGGGUCCUCUGGCCCCACCAACCACUUCCAGAAAUUGCUCUGGAAGAGGGAAAGAGGAAGUUUGCCCCAUCCACUCGUGUGGUGAGUUUCCAAGUGACCUAAUUUUCCUGCAGCGGUCGCAAGCUGACCUUCCCCAGGUAAGUCUCUUUGUAGAUUUGUACAAUCAUCACCUCCCUCAGGAUCUGUGAUGGGAACGUCCUGUUCUGGUCAGCCGGUGGGCCCGUAAUGAGAGGAGAGGACCCUGAACCAAUAGUCAAGACCAGCCAUACAGAUGUUGCCGAGACCGUGUCACCCAUCGUGUUUCGUUCACAAUGAGUUUCCAGUAUGUGAGUCUGAAAGACCCUCGGCCCUUUCUUCCUGUCAUCUCUGAGCCUCAGCUUCCACAUCUGCAAAAUGGAAAUGACACCUCGCUCUUGCUCUCAGGCGUGGUGUGAAAAUCAAGCGUGAUCGUCUUUAUGAAGUGCUCGGCACACGGGAGGGCCAGCAACUAUUCUCGGAGGGGCUUGGGCAUCUCUUUGGAAAUGGACCUCUUUAACUCUGCUGUGAUGCCAGGAGGUAGCCCAGCAUCCCAGACCCUGCCUUUCUCUGAGCUGCAUUCUUUCCUGGCUGCCUUGGACGUCUGACAUUGAAGCUGAUGUCACUCCGCGUCAAGUUGGGGCUGGAGGGUGCUUGGUAACUGGCAGUGGCCAAAGGUCUCCUCUCUUUCCUUCUCUGUAUAAAGUUACUUCUUUUCUGGGCAGGGGUUAAUUUGGUGGAAAUCAGGUGAAGACUUUGACGGUUGGGUGUGAGAGUGUUAAGCAUAAAGACGAAUGGCUCUAAGGUGCAUUCAAAGACCCUUGUGACCUCUAGAGUCAGAAGCACCUCUGGUUCCUCUGUUGCUUUGUUCGCACCAGUUUUAUCCAGAAGGUGGCAUCGCAGAGCCUGAUGUGCACUCCCCAAAGUCCAAAGGAUCCACAUUUCUUUGUGGUUAGACACUAACGUAUGUAGCCUUUACACAGCACGUUGACAUUUCAAAGACUUUUCAUUUAUCCCUAUACUUGGUUCAGUGACUUUCAAGCCGUGGGAGAUGGGGGUCAUUACGACUUCCUACCCAGUGAAAACCUGAGACCUGAGGUCCUUAGAAAACUCUGUGCCCCAACACACAUUCUUUCCCCGGGCGGUAGGUACAAAAGUGAACAAGAAUGGCUUGUUUGCGUGUCAAAAGCAGUUGUACAACUUAAUCACCGUGAUGCCUCCUCCUUCUUCCACACACACUUGUGCCUGCCCACUGCCCAUCAAAGUCAUGUUGGGUCAUUUCACUGGGGGGAGGGAUGGGGAAGACGUAGAUGAUUGUUUUAUGGGUAAGUCUUCUGAGUACCGGCACUUAACAAAAUAAGUCCCAAGGUUGACGCUUCCAAAAGGGUGACUGUUUAACUGGUGGCAUCUCAAACUCAGGACCCUGAGGGAAAGACAAGGUGACCCUCCCAAUUUAAGGUGGGGUCUGGCUUGGUGGCUCUUUCCCAGGAGUCCACUCUGGAGCCUGCCACAUCAGUUGCGUUAUGAGGCCUGUACUCAAUGAAUGUGUACUUCCCAGCGGGGAUGUUAAUGAGUUAUGAAUUCUUGGUGUGAAGUAUUUCGUGUCAAACCCUGUUAGCCCGAAGUGGAUUUUCAUUCCUCUUAUGUGUGUCGGUGACAGAAAGGGAAUGGAAUCGAACACCUGAGGAUAAGGCCUUUGCACUUGUGCUGCCGAAGGAGCACGAGGUAAGGCCUUUGAAAUGGAGUGUAUUCGUUGUUACACUGGUUCCCUGUUACAGGCGCACGUUUCCACGGAUGAGUAUUAUUUCAUUGGAUACAUGUACCACAUUUUCCUUAUCCAUUUAUACUGUUGAUGGAUGCUCACAAGUCUCUCAUGUGUCACAUGUUGAAAACAAUACUGUAGUGAGUAUAUGGGAUGAGUAUGUGUCCUUGACGUAGUGGCUUCCUGUCCUUAUAUAAACGCCCAGAUACGGGAUUGAUACAUCAUAUAGGAGCUCAAUUAUUAAUUUUUUGAGAGGCCAUCCUACUGUUCUCCGUAGUGCUACCCAAUGUGGGCCUGUCAGGUUGUCAGACUCCCUUUACAAAGAAGCUGAAAGAGUACGUCUACCAUGCAGAGCAAUGGCCUCCUAGGAAUCACUGGGAAUCCUCAUGUUGUGUAUGGGAAUGUGGUUGGAAUUGUAUCCACACGUUUCCAUCAAAACUUCCUGCACUGUUCUGGUGAUCAUACCUUGCCCGUGGCAAGAAGACGAGCGGCAUGAAGGUGCUGUCAAUGAACGUUCCAUGAAGCAGGGGACGUUUAGAUUGUCACGGACAUGAGCUGAUGAGCUGGAUGUCCGGGAGCCUCCUGGGUCAGGUGUGCAGGGUGCAGGAUUCAUCCUUGGGCCUUUGUUUCUAUACGUCAUUUCAGGCCAUUCAUUUCUCACGAGUAGUGAAACCUAGGGUCCAGAAGGGAUAUAUGAGUAAACUCUGGGAGUGUAAAGAAACUUGCAAGGGGGUGGGUAGAGUGUCUUAGUGUGAAAGUGUGGUAGGCCUUAUGGGUUCAGGGGCAAUGGCAGCAUCUGGCGACUGGGCAGAUAUUAGUUCCCAGGGAAGAAAUGGGUCAUGUCUGGUUCUCUGGCCUCCAAUGCAAAGAAGCUAAAAGAGUUUGUCUACCAUACAGAGCAAUGGCCUCCUAGGAAUCGUUAGGAAUCCUCAUUUUGUGGAUGGGAAUGUGGUUGGAAUUGUAUCCACACGUUUCCAUCGAAACUUCCUGCACUCUUCUGCUGACCAUACUCUGCACAUGGCGGGAAGAGGAGCGGUAUGUGGGUGCUGUCAAUGAACCUUCCAUGAGGCAGGGGACGUUUAGAUUGUCACGGACAUGAGCUGAUGAGCUGGAUGUCCGGGAGCCUCCUGGGUCAGGUGUGCAGGGUGCAGGAUUCAUCCUUGGGCCUUUGUUUCUAUACGUCAUUUCAGGCCAUUCAUUUCUCACGAGUAGUGAAACCUAGGGUCCAGAAGGGAUAUAUGAGAAAACUCUGGGAGUGUAAAGAAACUUGCAAGGGGGUGGGUAGAGCCUCGUGUAGA